rnacentral:rRNA from 1 species
GAUGAACGCUGGCGGCGUGCCUAAUACAUGCAAGUCGAGCGAACAGAUAAGGAGCUUGCUCCUUUGACGUUAGCGGCGGACGGGUGAGUAACACGUGGAUAACCUACCUAUAAGACUGGGAUAACUUCGGGAAACCGGAGCUAAUACCGGAUAACAUAUUGAACCGCAUGGUUCAAUAGUGAAAGGCGGCUUUGCUGUCACUUAUAGAUGGAUCCGCGCCGUAUUAGCUAGUUGGUAAGGUAACGGCUUGCCAAGGCAACGAUACGUAGCCGACCUGAGAGGGUGAUCGGCCACACUGGAACUGAGACACGGUCCAGACUCCUACGGGAGGCAGCAGUAGGGAAUCUUCCGCAAUGGGCGAAAGCCUGACGGAGCAACGCCGCGUGAGUGAUGAAGGUCUUCGGAUCGUAAAACUCUGUUAUCAGGGAAGAACAAAUGUGUAAGUAACUGUGCACAUCUUGACGGUACCUGAUCAGAAAGCCACGGCUAACUACGUG